rnacentral:snRNA from 1 species
UACCGCUACGGCGGUUCAUAUUCUAAGAUUGAAACGAUACGGAGAAGAUUAGCAUGGCCCCUGCGCAAGGAUGGCACGCAAAUUCGUGAAGCGUUCCAUAUUUUC